CUCAGGAGGAUCGCUGACGCCGUGCAUUAUACAUGCCAGUCGAGCGCACGUCUUAGGAGGUUAGCGGCGGACGGGUGAGUAACACGUGGGCAACCUGCCUGUAAGACUGGGAUAACUCCGGGAAACCGGAGCUAAUACCGGAUAGUAUCUUGAACCGCAUGGUUCAAGCUGGAAAGACGGUUUCGGCUGUCACUUACAGAUGGGCCCGCGGCGCAUUAGCUAGUUGGUGAGGUAAUGGCUCACCAAGGCAACGAUGCGUAGCCGACCUGAGAGGGUGAUCGGCCACACUGGGACUGAGACACGGCCCAGACUCCUACGGGAGGCAGCAGUAGGGAAUCUUCCGCAAUGGACGAAAGUCUGACGGAGCAACGCCGCGUGAGUGAUGAAGGUUUUCGGAUCGUAAAACUCUGUUGUUAGGGAAGAACAAGUGCGAGAGUAACUGCUCGCACCUUGACGGUACCUAACCAGAAAGCCACGGCUAACUACGUGCCAGCAGCCGCGGUAAUACGUAGGUGGCAAGCGUUGUCCGGAAUUAUUGGGCGUAAAGCGCGCGCAGGCGGUUUCUUAAGUCUGAUGUGAAAGCCCCCGGCUCAACCGGGGAGGGUCAUUGGAAACUGGGAAACUUGAGUGCAGAAGAGGAGAGUGGAAUUCCACGUGUAGCGGUGAAAUGCGUAGAGAUGUGGAGGAACACCAGUGGCGAAGGCGACUCUCUGGUCUGUAACUGACGCUGAGGCGCGAAAGCGUGGGGAGCGAACAGGAUUAGAUACCCUGGUAGUCCACGCCGUAAACGAUGAGUGCUAAGUGUUAGAGGGUUUCCGCCCUUUAGUGCUGCAGCUAACGCAUUAAGCACUCCGCCUGGAGACUCCGUCU
rnacentral:rRNA from 2 species